GUAGUACCACUUUCUUGGUAGGAAGUAUAAGAACUAGAACUGCAAGCAGUUAUGCAGGGGUCCAAGAAGUGUGCAUUUCGCCGGCACAACGCGACAAGAAAUGUGCGUUUCGCCGGCACAACGCGAAGCAAGUGUUCAAAACGCUACCGUGAACAACAUGUGGAUAUAAAGGUUUUGACUGUGGGAGCUUCGGUGUGGGAGUUAUAGCCCAAAACGCGUUUUCAGAACAUUCCAUUGGCCAAAUAGGAGAUAGACAAUGUCGUUGUUUUUUGGCGCCGCCCUGUGGCGAAAUUUUUAAUUUUCCAAAGACAAUUUUCCUUUGCCAAAUAACUCCCGCCCACAUUAAUAAUUCUUGGCCAUAUUUUCUAUAUAGAUUCGGG
ensembl:lncRNA